rnacentral:lncRNA from 1 species
CUACUGACCAGAGAUGCCUGAGCCAGAGAUACUGCUGACCAGAGAUGCCUGAGAUCCAAGGACUUGCUUCAAAGGGGAUCUGUUCCACCCUUCACAAUGGAAUGCUGACCCAUGGCACUGCAAUGGUAGAGUUUUCCAUUUUCCAGCUUCCAGUG